rnacentral:rRNA from 1 species
UACUCGAGUGCCGAACGGGUGAGUAACACGUGGGUGAUCUGCCCUGCACUUCGGGAUAAGCUUGGGAAACUGGGUCUAAUACCGGAUAGGAGCCAUCUUUAGUGUGGUGGUUGGAAAGUUUUUUCGGUGUAGGAUGAGCUCGCGGCCUAUCAGCUUGUUGGUGGGGUAAUGGCCUACCAAGGCGGCGACGGGCAGCCGGCCUGAGAGGGUGUACGGCCACAUUGGGACUGAGAUACGGCCCAG